GACGAACGCUGGCGGCGUGCCUAAUACAUGCAAGUUGAGCGAUGAAGAUUGGUGCUUGCACCAAUUUGAAGAGCAGCGAACGGGUGAGUAACGCGUGGGGAAUCUGCCUUUGAGCGGGGGACAACAUUUGGAAACGAAUGCUAAUACCGCAUAACAACUUUAAACAUAAGCUUUAAGUUUGAAAGAUGCAAUUGCAUCACUCAAGGAUGAUCCCGCGUUGUAUUAGCUAGUUGGUGAGGUAAAGGCUCACCAAGGCGAUGAUACAUAGCCGACCUGAGAGGGUGAUCGGCCACAUUGGGACUGAGACACGGCCCAAACGCCUACGGGAGGCAGCAGUAGGGAAUCUUCGGCAAUGGACGGAAGUCUGACCGAGCAACGCCGCGGGAGUGAAGAAGGUUUUCGGAUCGUAAAACUCUGUUGGUAGAGAAGAACGUUGGUGAGAGUGGAAAGCUCAUCAAGUGACGGUAACUACCCAGAAAGGGACGGCUAACUACGUG
rnacentral:rRNA from 1 species